rnacentral:rRNA from 1 species
UACAGAGGUCCCAAGCGUUGUUCGGAUUCACUGGGCGUAAAGGGUGCGUAGCGGUCGGGUAAGUCUGAUGUGAAAUCUCACAGCUUAACUGUGAAACUGCAUUGGAUACUAUCCGGCUCGAGGAAUGGAGGGGAGACUGGAAUACUUGGUGUAGCAGUGAAAUGCGUAGAUAUCAAGUGGAACACCAGUGGCGAAGGCGAGUCUCUGGACAUUUCCUGACGCUGAGGCACGAAAGCCAGGGGAGCAAACGGG